UACGGAGGGUGCAAGCGUUGUCCGGAAUCCCUGGGCGUAAAGGGCGCGUAGGCGGCUCGGUAAGUAGGGGGUGAAAUCCUGCGGCUUAACCGCAGGGCUGCCUUCUAAACUGUCGAGCUCGAGCACGGUAGAGGCAGAUGGAAUUCCCGGUGUAGCGGUGGAAUGCGUAGAGAUCGGGAAGAACAUCAGUGGCGAAGGCGGUCUGCUGGGCCGUUGCUGACGCUGAGGCGCGACAGCGUGGGGAGCAAACAGG
rnacentral:rRNA from 1 species